UUCCACUUUUACAAACAAUUAAAUACAUCCUAUUAUAUCUUCCCCUUUUCUGUUAGCACUACUCUCACCUUUAUAAAAAAAUUUUUCAUGGAGUAAAAAACAUUUAUUUCCUUUCAUUCUAAUCUAAUCAUCACAACUUGGCCACUAAAGAAGCCUCAUUAUGCUGCCUUUCUCUUCUUAGGUAUUACGCUGACAUCUUUGAAAAAGGCUCCUUGCUUUCCAGCAACAAUAAGGUGUUCUUUGUUCCAUUUGAAUUUCCUAUCAUUCAGACGUGGAAGCAGCGUUUCCCUAGGAAGCCUGGCGUUUCUCUGAGGCCGACUAGAGGACAGCAGGUCUCAGGCAGGUCUGAUACUUCAGCGGGUCUUCUGCUGGGAGUUCACAUGGUGCGGCUGCAAUGUGAAGAAAUCUCAGGCUUCACUUGCACUGGGUUGCUCAACAUUCUGAAGUCCUCUCUGCAUGGCUGUUGGUGAAAUUUCAUAAUAGAUACCAAGUGACAUUGUCUGGACUUCACUGUGUUUAGGUGUCUUUGACUGUUCCAACCCAAUUACAUAGCGAUCGCAUGAGCUCAAGCCUGAAAGCACAUCGGCGUGGACCAGCACAUUCCUUCCACCACCCAUAGCUGGGACACAAGUAAGGGAAUGCCAGGUGUUUGAGCCUAAGAAGUUUACCACCAUGAGCAACUUUCACCUGGAAAUUAAGUAUAAGACCUUUUUAGUUUUACAUUUUUGAAGAUUUGACACUUGGGAAAC
rnacentral:lncRNA from 1 species